CGAGGAAUAUUGGUCAAUGGGCGCAAGCCUGAACCAGCCAUCCCGCGUGAAGGAAGAAGGCCCUACGGGUUGUAAACUUCUUUUCUGUUUGAAGAAUAAGCUCGUCGAGACGAGUGAUGCCGGUAGGACAGGAAUAAGCAUCGGCUAACUCCGUGCCAGCAGCCGCGGUAAUACGGAGGAUGCAAGCGUUAUCCGGAUUUAUUGGGUUUAAAGGGUGCGCAGGUGGUUUAAUAAGUCAGUGGUGAAAGUCUGGCGCUUAACGUUAGGAUUGCCAUUGAUACUGUUAGACUUGAAUAUGGAUGAGGUAGGCGGAAUGUGUAGUGUAGCGGUGAAAUGCUUAGAUAUUACACUGAACACCGAUUGCGAAGGCAGCUUACUAACCCAUCAUUGACGCUGAGGCACGAAAGCGUGGGGAUCAAACAG
rnacentral:rRNA from 1 species